rnacentral:rRNA from 1 species
AACGAACGCUGGCGGCGUGUUUAAGACAUGCAAGUCGCACGGUGUCAUUUUGGUAGCAAUACUUGGAUGGCAUAGUGGCGCACGGGUGAGUAACACGUGAAUUACAUGCCCUGUAGAGGGGGAUAGCCCAGGGAAACUUGGAUUAAUACCCCAUGGUCUCGCAAGAGUAAAAGGUGGCCGCAAGGCUGUCGCUGCAGGAUUGGUUCGCGCCCUAUCAGCUUGUUGGCGGGGUAACGGCCCACCAAGGCUACGACGGGUACCUGGUCUGAGAGGACGAUCAGGCACACUGGAACUGAGACACGGUCCAGACACCUACGGGUGGCAGCAGUCGAGAAUAAUUCACAAUGGGGGCAACCCUGAUGGUGCAACGCCGCGUGGAGGAUGACGGUCUUCGGAUUGUAAACUCCUGUCAUCCGGGAGUAAGACCUGGGCAUUAACAGUGCACAGGGUUGAUAGUACCGGAAGAGGAAGGGACGGCUAACUUCGUGCCAGCAGCCGCAGUAAGAC